rnacentral:rRNA from 1 species
AUUAAUAAGCGGAGGAAAAGAAACUAACGAGGAUUCCCUCAGUAACGGCGAGUGAAGCGGGAUAAGCCCAGCACCGAAUCCCCGGUCGUUGCGGCCGCGGGACCUGUGGUGUUUAGGACAGCUCAUGGGGUUCGACGGUGCGGUCCGAGUCCUCCUGAUCGGGGCUUCACCCAGAGCGGGUGUCAGGCCUCUACGGCCGCCGGUCGUAUCUCUAGAGUCGUCCCUGGAGUCGGGUUGCUUGAGAUCGCAGCCCAAAGCGGGUGGUAAACUCCAUCUAAGGCUAAAUACAGACACGAGUCCGAUAGCGAACAAGUACCGUGAGGGAAAGUU